ACUGACCGGCACCGAGCGGCCCGGCCCGGGACACUGACCGGCACCGAGCGGCUCUGCUCCGGACACUGACCGGCACCGAGCGGCCCGGCCCCGGCUCUGCUCCGCCCGUCUGUCUGCCCCCGCACAGGCUCCCGCCUCAGCCCCGCUCCGGGCCAGGGGGCACAAGUGCGAUGCUGAAGGACCCGAAGGGCACCACCCACCUCCUUCCACUCGUUGACACAGAAGAUCCUGUAGGAGUCGUUGCCGUACUUGCCGAUGCCGUGCAGCUCGAUGGGGUAGCGCCACGCCUUGCUCAGGUUCUGAGUACAGAACCAGAAAAAUCCCAGCUGGAAGGGCCUUGUGCAGGUCAGCAGAGCAAGCCCGAGCAGAGCCACCCUCUAACAGGGCUCAAACACAGCAGCAGUGCUGCGGGUGCUUGGGUCUGUUCUACUCCUACUCCAACAAGUUUCUGGUCUCCGUGGCUGGCAGUUCCUCCCCAGCUCAGACUGGGAUCAGCAGCUUUGCCAGUGUGACACCAGUGGAUCCCACAUGCUGCCCAAACAGCCACCAACCCACCCAGCAGAGGAGAAGCCACACAGCAGCCUUUGCAUCAAAGCUGUUUGUCUUUUGCCAGCACAACCAGGAUUGUUCCAGACGUCAGGAAAACCCACCCGAGAACCUGAUGAUGGUUUUGGCUCUGAGCUCGUAGAGGCCAAGAGGUUUGAGCAGCUCUGACAUUUCUUUCCAGUCUGCAGCCCUGGCUACCUCAGGAGAAGGAUACUUCUUCAGGAACUCCCAGAGCACUGGAAUGGCCAUUUUCCCUGGUGAAAGAAUCCCGUGAGCAGGAGGCUGGGAUGGAGUUCUCCUUCUGCACUACCCAUAUGCUUUCUCAAGUGAGCUUUUCCAAGGCAAGGUACCAACUAAGGAUUAUUAUUUCACAGCAGCACAAGUUAAAAUAAAUAAAUUCUUUCAUGAAUACCAUUGAAA